AUGGACGUCCGUUUGAUGCUUCCCUUUUCCUCUCGGAGCGGCAUUUUUUCUUUUCGGAUUCGUUGCGGUUUGGUGAGCGGGAUAUGCGGGGCGACGCGAGCCACCCGUCGGCAGGGGAGAUUCUGCGUGCGCGAGGCUUGGAGGAGAUGCGAUGCCGGCAUCGAAACUCGCCGGGUGCAUGGUACCGUCGACUGUCCUCCGCCGAUGCGACCGCGGCCUUCAAUUCGGCACAUGGACGGGUGCAGUGCGGGCCGCAGCAGGUCGUUGGGCUUCGUCAAACGAGCUGCUAGUACGUACAGCACAGUGCGGCUGCCACGUGAUGCCGAGCGUGGGACGUACCCCCAUGUUUGCACGACGGGCCGACGCCGACGCGCACGACGACGACGAGGACGACGAGAGUGGGACUGUAGAAGACGAGGGCGCUCGCUGGCUGGCGUCACCAGGCCUACGCAGGCAACAGUGUCACGGCUAAGGCUAAUUAAUCUCGGCCCAGCUGCCUCUACGUGA
rnacentral:rRNA from 1 species